rnacentral:rRNA from 1 species
GAUGAACGCUGGCGGCGUGCCUAAUACAUGCAAGUCGAGCGAACAGACGAGGAGCUUGCUCCUCUGACGUUAGCGGCGGACGGGUGAGUAACACGUGGAUAACCUACCUAUAAGACUGGGAUAACUUCGGGAAACCGGAGCUAAUACCGGAUAAUAUAUUGAACCGCAUGGUUCAAUAGUGAAAGACGGUUUUGCUGUCACUUAUAGAUGGAUCCGCGCCGCAUUAGCUAGUUGGUAAGGUAACGGCUUACCAAGGCGACGAUGCGUAGCCGACCUGAGAGGGUGAUCGGCCACACUGGAACUGAGACACGGUCCAGACUCCUACGGGAGGCAGCAGUAGGGAAUCUUCCGCAAUGGGCGAAAGCUUGACGGAGCAACGCCGCGUGAGUGAUGAAGGUCUUCGGAUCGUAAAACUCUGUUAUUAGGGAGGAACAAAUGUGUAAGUAACUAUGCACGUCUUGACGGUACCUAAUCAGAAAGCCACGGCUAACUACGUG